CGGGGUAUAGCGCAGUUGGCUAGCGCGUCUGGUUUGGGACCAGAAGGUCGUCGGUUCAAAUCCGACUACCCCGA
rnacentral:tRNA from 1 species